rnacentral:rRNA from 1 species
AGAGUUUGAUCCUGGCUCAGGAUGAACGCUGGCGGCGUGCUUAACACAUGCAAGUCGAACGAGCGAUGACUUCGGUCAAAGCGAGUGGCGGACGGGUGAGUAACGCGUGGGUAACCUGCCUUGUACAGGGGGACAACAGUUGGAAACGACUGCUAAUACCGCAUAAGUGCACAGGACCGCAUGGUCUAGUGUAAAAAGAUUUAUCGGUACAAGAUGGACCCGCGUCUGAUUAGCUAGUUGGUGAGGUAACGGCCCACCAAGGCGACGAUCAGUAGCCGGCCUGAGAGGGUGAACGGCCACAUUGGGACUGAGACACGGCCCAAACUCCUACGGGAGGCAGCAGUGGGGAAUAUUGCACAAUGGGCGCAAGCCUGAUGCAGCGACGCCGCGUGAGUGAAGAAGUAUUUCGGUAUGUAAAGCUCUAUCAGCAGGAAAGAAAAUGACGGUACCUGACUAAGAAGCCCCGGCUAACUACGUGCCAGCAGCCGCGGUAAUACGUAGGGGGCAAGCGUUAUCCGGAUUUACUGGGUGUAAAGGGAGCGUAGACGGUUUUGCAAGUCUGAAGUGAAAUGCCGGGGCUCAACCCCGGAACUGCUUUGGAAACUGUAGAACUAGAGUGCAGGAGAGGUAAGUGGAAUUCCUAGUGUAGCGGUGAAAUGCGUAGAUAUUAGGAGGAACACCAGUGGCGAAGGCGGCUUACUGGCUGUAACUGACGCUGAGGCGCGAAAGCGUGGGGAGCGAACAGGAUUAGAUACCCUGGUAGUCCACGCGGUAAACGAUGAAUGCUAGGUAUAGGGGGUAUCGACCCCUCCUGUGCCGGAGUAAACACAAUAAGCAUUCCGCCUGGGGAGUACGGCCGCAAGGUUGAAACUCAAAGGAAUUGACGGGGGCCCGCACAAGCAGCGGAGCAUGUGGUUUAAUUCGACGCAACGCGAAGAACCUUACCAGGUCUUGACAUUGAAGUAAGCCCGUAGAAAUACGGGGUGUCUUCGGACAACUGAAAACAGGUGGUGCAUGGUUGUCGUCAGCUCGUGUCGUGAGAUGUUGGGUUAAGUCCCGCAACGAGCGCAACCCUUAUUGUUAGUUACUAACAGGCAGUGCUGAGGACUCUGACGAGACUGCCGGGGACAACUCGGAGGAAGGUGGGGACGACGUCAAAUCAUCAUGCCCCUUAUGACCUGGGCUACACACGUGCUACAAUGGUGGUUACAAAGAGGAGCGAACCCGUAAGGGCAAGCGGAUCUCAAAAAAGCCAUCUCAGUUCGGACUGUGGGCUGCAACCCGCCCACACGAAGUUGGAGUUGCUAGUAAUCGCGAAUCAGAACGUCGCGGUGAAUACGUUCCCGGGCCUUGCACUAACCGCCCGUCA